rnacentral:lncRNA from 1 species
UCCCAUCGACCAACUGGCACGUUACAAAGCUGACGCAAAAUAGUUGAGUUGGACGGAGAAAUACUUGAUAGUAUUUCUUGCGAAAGAAUCGACAACAUCCAUGGACGAACUGUCGGAGUUCACAGCUUCAACAAUGAAUGAACCACCUUUUUUUUUUUAAAGGAAUGAAUGAACCACCUUUGGCAUCUUACACUUUUGUUUUCCCCUCGGAAAUACUGAAAAGAUGUACAUAUAUAGAAAUGGAAAAAAUGGUUUAUAAAUUGGAUUGAAAAAACAAGUGAGCAGUGGCCUUUGUGUUUUGGUCCUCUGACUGCUGUUCUUGGGCACCAUGGGUGCCAUUGUACAUAAAACUCUAUUUCUUUCUUAAUUGGGCAUCAUGGGCUCGUGACGAUCUUAUGUGCCAGACAAUUAGUGGAAACAGGAUCAACUGGAAGGAUGAUGUUCCUGGACUGACGCGAAGACAGGAUUGUUGCAUAUGUUAGUUUGGGGGUGGACAAACUGUUUACAAAUAUAAACAUCUUUCCGGUUGAUGAUGAUGAUAAACAGUUUAGUCUCUCCUAGGUACUUGCACUUCCAAUCUUAAGAGUCUGAUAAUUUCAUCGAUC